ACCCCAGCCCCUGGGAUGAUGCUGCCUACAUUCAGGAUGGCCAUCCACUUCCCUCCACUGCUAAUUUGUUUGCGAACAUUCUCCUUAACAUGUCCAGAGUUUGCUAGGGUUUGGAAUCAGACUUCUCUGUGCUGGCCUCAAGCUACAUUGUGUGUCAAGAUGGCUGUGUCUGUGCAAUGAACCCAAGCUCCACAUUUCAUCUUCCCCUGACCAUGGAAGAAUUUUCUUGGGUGUAAGCAAGAUGACUUCAAUUUCCAUAGCACUCCCACAAUGGACGGAAAAAUAACUGAGAACAUUUUCAGAUGCAGCUUUUGAUGAGAAACACAUCUUUUCCCUCAUUGUCUCCCAGAAGACUGCUUGUCUUGAUAGCUGUGGGGAUUGGUACCAUGUUUAGAAAUGGUUCCAAGUGAUAGAAUGGCAGAAGGCAAGGCGUGCAUCUGGGCUCCAUUCACAUUCUGAGACCUCUUCAAGAGGAACUAAAAUCCAUAAGAAAAGCUGAUAUCUCAGAUUUCCACAUAGGCUCAUUUCCUAGAACACACACAACAAAUCACCGUGUACUUGGUGACUUAGAUUAAUAAAACUAUUCUCUCAUA